AUCUCUGGCCAUACCACCCUGAGCACACCUCAUGUGGUCUCAGAAACUAAGCAGGGCUAGGUAUGGGAGUGCUCAGAUGGGAGACCCAAUACCAGCUUCCCAAAUGCCUGAGGUG
rnacentral:rRNA from 1 species